rnacentral:rRNA from 1 species
CCUACGGGUGGCAGCAGUGGGGAAUAUUGGACAAUGGGCGCAAGCCUGAUCCAGCAAUGCCGCGUGUGUGAAGAAGGCCUGCGGGUUGUAAAGCACUUUCGGUGGGGAGAAAGAGGCCAUUACUAAUACUAAUGGCGGAUGAUGUUACCCACAGAAGAAGCACCGGCUAACUCUGUGCCAGCAGCCGCGGUAAUACAGAGGGUGCGAGCGUUAAUCGGAAUUACUGGGCGUAAAGGGUGCGUAGGUGGUUACUUAAGUUAGGUGUGAAAGUCCUGGGCUUAACCUGGGGAUUGCGCCUGAUACUGAAUAGCUAGAGUAUUGUAGAGGAAAGCGGAAUUUCCGGUGUAGCGGUGAAAUGCGUAGAUAUCGGAAGGAACAUCGGUGGCGAAGGCGGCUUUCUGGACAAAUACUGACACUGAGGCACGAAAGCAUGGGGAGCAAACAGGAUUAGAUACCCUUGUAGUC